UACAGAGACUGCAAGCGUUAUUCGGAUUCACUGGGCGUAAAGGGUGCGCAGGCGGCCAAGUGUGUGAGGCGUGAAAGCCUGGAGCUUAACUCCAGAAUUGCACCUCAAACUACUUGGCUAGAGCAUUGGAGAGGGUAGCAGAAUUCACGGUGUAGCAGUGAAAUGCGCAGAUAUCGGGAGGAACACCAGCGGCGAAGGCGGCACUCUGGGCUGGAACUGACGCUGAGGAGCGAAAGCGUGGGUAGCAAACAGG
rnacentral:rRNA from 1 species